GACGAACGCUGGCGGCGUGCUUAACACAUGCAAGUCGAACGGAAAGGCCCAGCUUGCUGGGUACUCGCGUGGCGAACGGGGGAGUAACACGCGGGUGAACUGCCCUGGACUCUGGGAGAAGCCUGGGGAACUGGGGCGAAUACCGGAGAUGAGCUUACAUCGCACGGGGUUUGGGGGAGAGCUUUUGCGGUUCAGGAUGGGCCCGCGGCUUAUCAGCUUGUUGGUGGGGGAUUGGCCUACCAAGGCGACGACGGGUAGCCGACCUGAGAGGGUGACCGGCCACACUGGGACUGAGACACGGCCCAGACUCCUACGGGAGGCAGCAGUGGGGAAUAUUGCACAAUGGGCGCAAGCCUGAUGCAGCGACGCCGCGUGCGGGAUGACGGCCUUCGGGUUGUAAACCUCUUUCGCCAGGGACGAAGCGUGAGUGACGGUACCUGGAGAAGAAGCACCGGCCAACUACGUG
rnacentral:rRNA from 1 species